rnacentral:tRNA from 1 species
AGGCUUGUAGCUCAAGUGGUUAGAGCGCACCCCUGAUAAGGGUGAGGUCGGUGGUUCAAGUCCACUCAGGCCUA